rnacentral:lncRNA from 1 species
GAAUUAGUUUUUUCUGGUUUUAUUGCAUUUUGUCACAUUUUUUAGUAUUUAUUCACCUAUUUUUAUUUUUAUUUUCUUUAUUUUUAUUUAUUUACUUUAUUUUAUUUUAUUUUAUUUUAUUUUAUUUUAUCUUCUUAUUUAAUUUUUGUUAUAAUGCGUUGAUCAAUGACUGUCGUGAGCAGGGGAGGCCAAAGAGGUGUUUCAGGGAAUGUUGGAUUGCAAGAUGAGACCCUGCACUUUUUUAAACUUAAAAACUGAAACUAAUUUUACUAAAAACUAAAUAAACUUAUUAAUAGUUCAGUAUUUUUUAUCUUAUUUUGAGUACAGUUAACAAUUGUGGGUUCACUUUUCCUAAUUCAUUUCUCACACAAUUAGGUUUUCGUGAUUUCUUUUUUGAUCACAAUUUUCUUCGGACCUCUUUUAUUCGUCUCGUUCGUCGCUGUUGAACGCUGCCGCGUCGAAGGUUCGUCGUCGUCGAAGACUCGCUUUUGAUGAAGACUUGUUGUCGUCGAAGACUUGCUGUCGUCGAAGGAUCCUAUAGAAAGUUUGCCAGACUCUGCCGUCGCCGACUGUUGAAGGCUCUACCAGCAUUGUCGAAGGUUCUGAGAACACUUCUCGCUGGAAAGAGAAGCAAAUCUGCAACCCAAAGGUACGAAUGUUCUUCCUUUCCCUUUCAAAAGAGAUAAAUAAAAUGGAGUCUUAGAAUAAGGUCGUACCAGUUUAUUCUUUAGAAGGUAAGUUUACAAGGCCGCUAUGAACUUUUGGUGUGAACCCUAGUCGAUGUUAAUUCCAUAAUGCAUUAAUUGUUCGAUGUGAUUUUCAACAUUUUUUUACCUUGGCAUAUUUGUGUCUUGUUUAGCUUUUGACAGAUGGAAUCCAUGCUCUCCCAGUAUUUUUUUUUUGUUGAUUCUUACCAUUUGAUUAUUGAUAUUGACUUCUAAAGUCCUUUCGUGUUGAAAUGAUUUGCGAAAUAACUUCAUUUUACAAAGAAUGCAUGGUUCUUCACAAACAUCUUCUUACUUGUAUUUAGCUUGAUUGCUAGGUGUUGUUUAGGGCUAGAAUUGACUGAAGAAAAGUUUCUGAGCAUAUGAUUGUAUUGGUUUUCUAUACAAGGAAUAUAUCUUUGGAUUUCCUGAAGCAAAGACCAUAAUUCAGUGGCUUGCAGCUUCUCAGGUAAUUUUAUAUUUUUAGCCAUCAUUGUAUCAGGUAAUUUUAUAUCUUUGGGUUCUUGACCCAACAAUGUUCUGGUAUGGAUACUCUUAUUUCAGCAAUCUUGAAUGGUGGAGGAGCACUGGGGUCUUAUAUAACUAGGCAUACACCAGUUAUAUUCUCUCCAUUCUCAACAUUUUAAUUUUGAUUAAUUUGGGUUGUAUGACACAAUUGUCUAUUUUUUAUCAAAUUUGUACGGUUGUUGUUUCUUCUAUGUAUAAUUAUUUUAUCCAAUGUGGCUUUAGUAAUACCUUAUUGUCUAUUAUUCAUCAAAUUUGUCCUGUUGUUGUUUCUUCUAUGUAUGAUUGUUUUAUCCAAUGUGGCUUUAGUAAUACUCC